GGAUUAUUUCAUCUGAUACCAACCACAACAUUAUCAUCCUCAUCUUACUGGGGCAUUUUCUCAACAAAGGGAGACAAUGUUACAGGCCUGCUGCUGCUCAGUUUCCAGGGUGGCAGAGCCAGUAAAGCACCCUGGAUCUCUGUGUGUGAAUAAAAAUUCCUCCUGUUUUGAAGUUCAAGCAACCUUCUAUGGUGGGAGUCUCUAAAUGAUCUACAACAGAGAAUAAAGUGCAUCUUCUUCACUUUACAAGAGAUUGCAGAGAUGUCAGAGCAUGGUGAAGAUGGCUGUCUUCAGAAGAUGGCUAUUGAAGUAGUCAAUGCAAUGGGCAGUAAUCUGCGUCUCAGUAGGCACCGUGCAGAGCUUGGAGUGGCUGAGACCAGCGGUGCUCCUUCGCUUGGAUUGCCAGUAGCCAACAGACGUAGCAAUAGCGAAAAUAUACAUUUUCUGUGGUAUCUCUCUAAGUAGUUUUGCACCUUUGAACAUUUUCGAAGGUCUCUCAAAAAUAUUGCAUGAAAUGGUGUCAGAGACCACUGCAACUGGUGACACAGACUGAUUCUUAAGUGCAUGCAAGACCCUCCUUGGGAACUCCUAUGUGCUCCCAAAUGACCUCACAGUGAAGUUUCUUUAUGAACUGGGUGGGGGCUUAGCACA